rnacentral:tRNA from 1 species
GGGCGUGUAGCUCAGUUGGGUGGAGUAUUACGUUGACAUCGUAAGGGUCACAAGUUCGAGUCUUGUCACGCCCACCA